rfam:Cavia porcellus supercont2_146 genomic scaffold, whole genome shotgun sequence.
GGGGAUUUAGCUCAGAGGCAUAAGCGCCUGCCUUGCAAGCAGGCAGUUGUGAGUUCAAUCCCUG